rnacentral:rRNA from 1 species
UGUAUGCGGCUGUGUCUCUUUCGGGGGGCCAGCUUUUGCGGAGGCUGAAAUAUUUUUCACCCAUGUCUUUUGCGCACUUGUUGUUUCCUGGGCGGGUUUCGCCCGCCACCAGGACCACACCAUAAACCUUUUUUAUGCAGUUGCAAUCAGCGUCAGUAUAACAAAUGUAAAUCAUUUACAACUUUCAACAACGGAUCUCUUGGUUCUGGCAUCGAUGAAGAACGCAGCGAAAUGCGAUACGUAGUGUGAAUUGCAGAAUUCAGUGAAUCAUCGAAUCUUUGAACGCACAUUGCGCCCUUUGGUAUUCCAAAGGGCAUGCCUGUUCGAGCGUCAUUUGUACCUUCAAGCUUUGCUUGGUGUUGGGCGUCUUUUUUUUGUCUUGGGCCUUUUUGUGCCCUGAGACUCGCCUUAAAACGAUUGGCAGCCGGCCUACUGGUUUCGGAGCGCAGCACAUUUUUGCGCUUGCAAUCAGCAAAAGAGGCCAGCCAUCCAUCAAGACCAUUCUUCUCACUUUUGACCUCGGAUCAGGUAGGGAUACCCGCUGAACUUAAGCAUAUCAAUAAGGCGGGAGGAA